rnacentral:lncRNA from 1 species
GGGCCGCACCCAGCAGCAUGUGGAGGUUCCCAAGUUAGGGGUGGAAUCAGAGCUGUAGCUGCCUGCCUAUGCUGCAGCCACAGAAACACAGGAUCUGAGCUGCAUCUGCAGCCUACACCACAGCUCACAGCAAUGCUGGAUCCUUAACCCACUGAGUGAGGCCAGGGAACGAACUUGCGUCCUCAUUGAUAUUAGUCAGAUUCAUUUCCCGUGAGCCACGACAGGAACUCCUACAGUCAGAUUCUUAACCCACAGCAUCAAACCAGGAACUCCAGUUAUGUCAUUCUUUUAACAGUUGUGCCAUAGGAGUUCCCAUUGUGGCUCAGAGGGUUAAGACCCUGACUAGCAUCCAUAGGCCAGCAGCUGUGGCUCUGAUUUGACCCCUAGCCUGGGAACUUCCAUAUGCCAUAGGUACGGCCUUAAAAACAAAAGCAGGAGUUCCCAUUAUGGAUCAGUGGUUAAUGAAUCCAACUAGGAACCAUGAGGUUGCGGGUUCGAUCCCUGGCCUUGCUCAUCAGAUUUGUUUCCACUAAGCCACGAUGGGAACUCACCCUCCCUUUUUUUCAGCUGGGCAGACAGCAUGUGAAGUUCCCAGGCCAGGGAUCAAACCCAAGCCAGACCAGUAACCAGAACCACAGCAGUGACAACACUGAGUCCUUAACCACUUGGCUACCAGGGAACUCCAUGCCUUGGGCUUUUGUAACAGGCUCUAGGGGUCUCCUUAUCUCCUUUCCUGUUCCCCUCCACAGUUCUCCACAUUGAAUCCAAGAAGGAUAUUUUAAAACACAGUUCUAGGAGUUCCCACUGUGGCACAGUGGGUUAAGGAUCCAGUGUUGCUGCAGCUGUAUCUUGGAUCCCUGGCCCAGGGAACUUCCACAUGCCUGGGAGUUGGCCAAAAAAGAAAAAGAGAAGAGCAACAACAAAACCCAGUUCUAGGAGUUCCCAUCGUGGCUCAGCGGUGUACUCGACUAGUCCAUGAGGGCAAGGGUUUGAUCUGUGGCCUUCCUCAGUGCGUUAAGGAUCUGGCGUUGCCAUGAGCUGUGGUCUAGGUCACAGACACGGCUCAGAUCUGGUGUUGCUAUGACUGUGGUGUAGGCUGGCAGCUACAUCUCCAAUUCAACCCCUAGCCUGGGAACCUCCAAAUGCCGUGGGUGCGGCCCUAAAAAGACAGACAGACAGACAGACAGACACACACACACACACACACACACACAAAAUAGAGACAAAUUCUUACCUGGCUCACAGGCAUGAUUUGGCACCUGCCCACCCUUCUCGCCCUCAUCUCCUACCACACCCUCAUUCAUCCUCUGCUCCCCAGUUUCCACUUUCUUCUCUUGGUGCUCCAGCAUGUUCUCCCACCCAGAGCCUGUGCACUUUCUGCUCUCACUAGAAUGCUCCCAGAGGUUUUUCUCCCCUCAUGAUUACCUCUCCUCAGUUAACUCUCCUCAGGCUUUAGAGCUUAGCUCUAGUCUGGGUCAGUCCUUUUGUCCACUUCUGCAGCACAGCACAGAAGUUCCUGGGCCAGAGAUGGAACCCGCACCACAGCUGUAACCAGAGCUACUGCAGUGACAAUGCCAAAUCCUUAACCCGCUGAGCCACCAGGGAACUCCAGUCCUUUUCUUUUUAAAGUUCCUAUAACUCCAUAUAAUUUCUUUCAGCUUGAGAUUUUGCUUUACUAGCAUGACUGGUAUUUCCCCCACUAGACUGUGAGUGCCCUAAAGGCAGGAACUUUGCUUAUGCAGUUCAUCACCGUGGCACGCGGAGGACGUGCAAAAAUAUCUGCUUAAUGAGUGAUAUCCAAACUGACAGCAAAAGGGGCGGUUGGAUGGCGAGUCGAUGGCUCAGGAGAGAUUUCCGGGCUGGAAAUAAAGAUCUGGACGGCCUUGCCCAAGCGGUGUGCAGACUAAAGAGAAUACGUAACUAAAGCAAGAUAAACUGUAAAGUGGCUCACAGUCACUGCGCAAAGAUGCCGGGACUCUCCACCGCCUAGCUGUAGCUCACCCAAGUCGCUACCCGCCCUGGCCGCUUGGACCCGGUUCCUAAAAAGCAGAGGGAACCAUCUCAAAGACGAUCAGGUACCGCGACCCUCCAGCCUC